rnacentral:rRNA from 1 species
UUGCCUACACAUGCAAGUUGCACGGCGCCAUGCCUCUCGAGGAAUGGCGGAGUGGCGGACGGGUGAGGAACGCGUAAGGACCUGCCCCUGGGAGGGGGAUAACAGCUGGAAACGGCUGCUAAUACCCCAUAUCCUGAGGAGGGAAAGGAGAGAUCCGCCCAGGGAGGGGCUUGCGUCUGAUUAGCUAGUUGGGGGGGUAAUGGCCUCCCAAGGCAACGAUCAGUUGCUGGUCUGAGAGGAUGAUCAGCCACACUGGGACUGAGACACGGCCCAGACUCCUACGGGAGGCAGCAGUGAGGAAUCUUCCGCAAUGGGCGAAAGCCUGACGGGGCAAUGCCGCGUGGAGGAUGAAGGCCCAAUGGGUCGUAAACUUCUUUAGAUCAGAGACGAAGAGAUGACGGUACCUGAAGAACUAAGCAUCGGCUAAACCCCGUGCCAGCAGCCGCGGUAAGACGGGGGAUGCGAGCGUUAUCCGGAAUGAUUGGGCGUAAAGGGUCCGCAGGUGGCCCGGUCAGUCCGCUGUCAAAACCUGGGGCUCAACCCUGGACAGGCGGCGGAGACCACCGGGCUUGAGUCCGGUAGGGGCAGAGGGAAUUCCCGGUGGAGCGGUGAAAUGCGUAGAGAUCGGGAAGAACGCCAAGGGCGAAGGCACUCUGCUAGGCCUGAUUUCGCGACUGACACUCAGGGACGAGAGCCAGGGGAGCGAAUGGGAUUAGAUACCCCAGUAGUCCUGGCCGUAACGAUGGAUACCAAGCCCUGCGCGUAUCGACCCGGGCAGGG